rnacentral:lncRNA from 1 species
UAAACUUUCCGUGUGGCUUUGAACUUUUUCAUUUUAGUACCCUCCGAUUUAAAGUGUAUCAAGGCAGUAUUUUAUGGUUUCAUUUUUCUCUUUUCGUCAACCCCUCUGUUAAUAUUUUUUUAAAUUAUAUACAAAAAAAACUUCAGAAUACCCCACCUAGGUUUAUCGAAUAUUCACUUUAGUACCCUUUAGUUUUAACUCUGUUACUGAUUUAACGAAAAAAAAUAAUAAAAUAAAAAAUAAAAAGAGAAAAACAAAAACCACAUUGCACUAAAUUUAUACACUUUAAAUUACACGGUACUAAAAUGAGAAAGUACGAAAUUAAUUUCACAGGAUGGUAUUUGAAGUUUUUUUUCAAAAAAAAAAAAGAAAA